rnacentral:rRNA from 1 species
AGAGUUCGAUCCUGGCUCAGGAUGAACGCUGGCGGCGUGCUUAACACAUGCAAGUCGAACGAGAAGUGAAGACGGAAACCUUCGGGCGGAAGACUUUAUUUCGAGUGGCGGACGGGUGAGUAACGCGUGGGUAACCUGCCUCAUACAGGGGGAUAACAGUUGGAAACGACUGUUAAUACCGCAUAAGACCACAGCACCGCAUGGUGCGGGGGUAAAAACUCCGGUGGUAUGAGAUGGACCCGCGUUCGAUUAGCCAGUUGGCGGGGUAACGGCCCACCAAAGCGACGAUCGAUAGCCGAUCUGAGAGGAUGACCGGCCACAUUGGGACUGAGACACGGCCCAAACUCCUACGGGAGGCAGCAGUGGGGAAUAUUGCACAAUGGGGGAAACCCUGAUGCAGCGACGCCGCGUGAGUGAAGAAGUAUUUCGGUAUGUAAAGCUCUAUCAGCAGGGAAGAAAAUGACGGUACCUGAGUAAGAAGCCCCGGCUAACUACGUGCCAGCAGCCGCGGUAAUACGUAGGGGGCAAGCGUUAUCCGGAUUUACUGGGUGUAAAGGGAGCGCAGACGGCUCUGCAAGUCUGAAGUGAAAGCCCGCGGCUUAACCGCGGGACUGCUUUGGAAACUGCAAGGCUUGAGUAUCGGAGGGGCAGGCGGAAUUCCUAGUGUAGCGGUGAAAUGCGUAGAUAUUAGGAAGAACACCGGUGGCGAAGGCGGCCUGCUGGACGAAAACUGACGUUGAGGCUCGAAGGCGUGGGGAGCAAACAGGAUUAGAUACCCUGGUAGUCCACGCGGUAAACGAUGAAUACUAGGUGUUGGUGCCCGAAGGGCAUCGGUGCCGUCGCAAACGCAAUAAGUAUUCCACCUGGGGAGUACGUUCGCAAGAAUGAAACUCAAAGGAAUUGACGGGGACCCGCACAAGCAGUGGAGCAUGUGGUUUAAUUCGAAGCAACGCGAAGAACCUUACCAAAUCUUGACAUCCUUCUGACCGCACCGUAAUGGGUGCUUUCCUUCGGGACAGGAGUGACAGGUGGUGCAUGGUUGUCGUCAGCUCGUGUCGUGAGAUGUUGGGUUAAGUC